CCUACGGGUGGCAGCAGUGAGGAAUAUUGGUCAAUGGGCUUACGCCUGAACCAGCCAAGUCGCGUGAGGGAAGACUGCCCUAUGGGUUGUAAACCUCUUUUGUCAGGGAGCAACGCCGGCUACGUGUAGCCGGACUGAGAGUACCUGAAGAAAAAGCAUCGGCUAACUCCGUGCCAGCAGCCGCGGUAAUACGGAGGAUGCGAGCGUUAUCCGGAUUUAUUGGGUUUAAAGGGUGCGUAGGCGGAAUGCCAAGUCAGCGGUAAAAUCGCGGGGCUCAACCUCGCUCCGCCGUUGAAACUGGCGUGCUUGAGUGGGCGAGAGGUAUGCAGAAUGCGUGGUGUAGCGGUGAAAUGCAUAGAGAUCACGCAGAACUCCGAUUGCGAAGGCAGCAUACCGGCGGCCGACUGACGCUGAAGUGCGAAAGCGUGGGUAUCGAACAGGAUUAGAUACCCCAGUAGUC
rnacentral:rRNA from 1 species